rnacentral:rRNA from 1 species
AUUGAACGCUGGCGGCAUGCCUUACACAUGCAAGUCGAACGGCAGCGGACCUUCGGGUGCCAGCGAGUGGCGAACGGGUGAGUAAUAUAUCGGAACGUACCUUUCAGUGGGGGAUAACGUAGCGAAAGUUACGCUAAUACCGCAUAUUCUGUGAGCAGGAAAGCAGGGGAUCGCAAGACCUUGCGCUGAUUGAGCGGCCGAUAUCAGAUUAGCUAGUUGGUGAGGUAAAGGCUCACCAAGGCGACGAUCUGUAGCGGGUCUGAGAGGAUGAUCCGCCACACUGGAACUGAGACACGGUCCAGACUCCUACGGGAGGCAGCAGUGGGGAAUUUUGGACAAUGGGCGCAAGCCUGAUCCAGCCAUGCCGCGUGAGUGAAGAAGG